GCAGUGACAAAGAGAGAACUAAUUAUGGUUAAUGCUGCACAGUGUUUACUUCAAAAUAAGAAAUUUGAAAAGGAAACAUUUGUUUUUGCGAUAGACAUGCAUUUGCGUUAGUGAUAGACCUAAAAUGUGUGAGGCUGCUUACUGGGAAAGAACGAGGGGAAAGGACAAAAUCCUGAUGAGAACGUUGUAGAGUGUUUCAUUUUGUAAUGAGAAGAUUGGGGUGGAGUUCAUCAAAACCAAGAAGAGCGCCGUGUGUGGCCACAACUCGUAGCUACCACAGGACAAACCCCUCUCACUCCUACACUUUCAACAUGCAGCCAGGUUCAAACAGAAGCAGGAUCACGUGAGUCUGAGCAGCCCCAGUUUGGAGGAAGACGGGUCAGGCCUCCUCACACACUCAUAUGGUAACCAAGCCUACCACCCACUGGUUGACUAGAGAUGUGGGAGUCUGCAGGGAGACUGAAAGAGGUUAAACGAGGAAUGUAAUAUGUGGACUGCUGAGCAAUUGUUGAGAGGCUACUGUGUGUGAACACACUCAGGGCAAGGGGCUGCAAAUUCACAUCAUAUGUGACCUCUGGCCUCACGAAUCUCACAAUGUACAUGUGUACAGAGACACGUACACAGCUUAGUCAAAUAAAAAAGUAAUCCCUUAGCGAGGUUCCCAUAUAACCAAGAACAAAGGCUUGGGAGUGAAUGAUACUGAAGACCUUUUUUACUGAAGGAAGUUUCCUUGGUAAGUGUGGGGAUAAAGGAUGGACUGGCCUUUUUAUAAUGAAGCUAUAAUUACUAGCUUCGGAGUAGUAUCUUUGCAUAAAUCAGAUGUAACAUCAGUAAUGGAAACAAACAUCCCCUUAAGUACUUGCCUCCAAAACAGGAAAUACAUUUUGCAUCCACACUCUGAGCUGAUGAUAAAAUGCAAAGGAUUCCAGGAAAAAAAAACCUAAAAUCAUAUGGAUACAUUUAAUUUCCUAAAAACUGGUUUUGGAACAUGGAGGAUCCUGGACCUCUGAAAAAAAGAGUAAGAAAAAAUAAAACAAACACACACUGAGGGAAGGAAGGAGAA
rnacentral:lncRNA from 1 species